CGGCCCAGACUCCUACGGGAGGCAGCAGUGAGGAAUAUUGCGCAAUGAGCGAAAGCUAGACGCAGCAACGCCGCGUGGGUGAAGAAGGCCUUCGGGUCGUAAAACCCUUUUCUGAGGGAAGAGCAAGGACGGUACCUCAGGAAUAAGUCUCGGCUAACUAUGUGCCAGCAGCCGCGGUAAGACAUAGGAGGCGAGCGUUAUCCGGAUUUAUUGGGCGUAAAGUGCGUUGAGGCGGCAUUGUAAGUUGGACGUGAAAGCUCCUGGCUUAACUGGGAGAGGUCGUUCAAUACUGCAAGGCUAGAGGGUAGCAGAGGGGGGUGGAAUUCCCGGUGUAGUGGUGAAAUGCGUAGAUAUCGGGAGGAACACCAGUGGCGAAGGCGGCCCCCUGGGCUACAUCUGACGCUGAAGGCGAAAGCUAGGGUAGCAAACGGGAUUAGAAACCCCGGUAGUCCUAGCCGUAAACGAUGGAUACUAGGUGUAGGAGGUUAAAAAUCCUUCUGUGCCGGAGCAAACGCGUUAAGUAUCCCGCCUGGGGAGUACGGCCGCAAGGCUAAAACUCAAAGGAAUUGACGGGUCUCCGCACAAGCAGCGGAGCGUGUGGUUCAAUUCGAUGUAACGCGAAGAACCUUACCAGGGCUUGACACGUAGGUAGUAGUGAAGCGAAAGCGGAACGAUCCUUCGGGAAGCCUACACAGGUGCUGCAUGGCUGUCGUCAGCUCGUGCCGUGAGGUGUUCCCUUAAGUGGGGUAACGAGCGCAACCCUUACUGUUAGUUACAAGUGUCUAGCGGAACUGCCCGGUUAAACUGUGAGGAAGGUGGGGAUGACGUCAAGUCAGCAUGGCCUUUAUGUCCCGGGCUACACACACGCUACAAUGGCCGGUACAAUGGGUAGCCAAACCGCGAGGUGGAGCCAAUCCUAAAAAGCCGGUCUCAGUUCGAAUUGCAGGCUGCAACUCGCCUGCAUGAAGUUGGAGUUGCUAGUAACCGCAGGUCAGCACACUGCGGUGAAUACGUUCCCGGAGAUUGUACACACCGCCCGUCACGUCAUGGGAGCUGGUAACACCUGAAGCCAGUGGGCUAACCGAAAGGGGGCAGCUGUCGAAGGUGGGACUGGUGACUGGGACGAAGUCGUAACAAGGUAGCUGUAGCGGAAGCUGCGGCUG
rnacentral:rRNA from 1 species